rnacentral:lncRNA from 1 species
GUGAUACAUGAAGGCAAAAUUGUUAUGAUUAUUUCAUUGGGUUCCAAUUGGAGAUGGGCUAUAGCUCACUAGUGCAGACAAUAGCAAGCAGCCUGCAUGGAUGUCUCUAUAAUAUAUACAGACAGGCUGGCCACAAAUUCUAAUUGUGUGUGUGUGUGUGUAUUCAUCAAUAACAUCACCUAAGCACUCCUUAUUGUCAAGGAAGCCCUAAAGAGAAUCACAGACUUGAACUCCCUGAGUCCUAUAGACACAGACAUACCAUGAAAUAUAUAUACUUCGUAAAUGUGUACAGAAAAAGCCAUAAAGUAAGGGACAAAGAAAACAGUAAGGACAUUUGAAUUUGUCUCUCCAGAGAGAGCCCUGAGGAUAUACCAUUCUUAGAAUAAAGCUUUCAUUUCACAGUGCAUCAGUAGGAAAAUUAACAAGCUCCCCUCGUCCUGUUCCAUAAUUCAUUCUCUUUGUUUUAGGUAUCGAGCUGACCUGGUGACUUAAAACCAUGAGAAAUAGCUUUUAAAUACACAUCUGGUCCUGGCAGUUUUGCCUUGCCAAUGACAGAAGACCAACUUGUCCCAUCAUUAGGGAGAUAGACAUAAUGUCACUUUGUCAUUCAAAUUCCUUUUCGAUUUAACUCCAUGUCCUUCACUGGUGCUGGCUGCUGUGCUGCAGAGGUUGUGGUUUCCAGGCUGAACAUUUUCCUGCCAUCCCAGCAUUGCUACUGUGGCUGGAUUUAGAGGUCCUUAGCUUGGGGCGAGGAUAAGAUGUGUCUGUGGGAUGGGGGAAGGGAGAGCUUUCUCUGGCCCUGUGUUUACCUGACCUUACACGCAGCUUUUUCUUUCUCAGGGAGAAGCUUACUGCUGUUUUCAUGGCUCUGCAUGCCCGGGGAAAGAGGAAGGCCACAGGAAGUCUGGCUCCUGGAGGAUGGGACACACAACGUGGGAACCGGCAAGUCACCAGAGUCAUCUCAGCCAAGAUCAACCAAUAGUCAAUUACCAGGAACGUGAGAGAAUUCUGAGACCAGGACUGCUCAGCCACCUCUGCCUAAAAUACCAACACACAGAACAGUAAAGUGAAUGGAUGUUUAUUAUCCUAAGCCACUAUAUUUUGAGAUUGUACCUCAUGCAGCACUAUUAUGACCAUAGGUGACUGAUAUAAAAAGUAAGGAAUUAUGAAUCAUAAGAAAAAGAUGAACCAAGGAAAGAAUCAGCUUUGAAGAGGUGGUAAACUAUGGGAGUUGGGUAUGCUUUUCUGCAAUGAUCUUGUCUUAUUUUCUUUUUUUUUAAAGGAAGGCCUACCUGAAUAAUUCUGUGCAGGAAGAUAAAAGCAAGAUUAGAGUGAGACCUAUUCAGGGAGGUGUCAUUUUGUGAGCAGUUCAUGACCAUACCCAAUAAUCAGGGUCUGUCUACAUAUCUGAAUUUUAAUCCUUACAUAUAUGGCCUUAGAUGAACUAAAAUAAUUAUAAGAAGUUGUGUCAUUGUAGACUUCUAUUAAUAAACAUAUACCUACAUAUAUACAUGUUUAUGCACAAGAAUCAGCCUGUAUAGGCAUAUUUACCUAGGCAUAUUCAUUGCAUAGUGCUCUCAUGGUUGUGACUUGGGUGGGUGUAGCAAAGUGACAGGCCAGGAUCUCACCACAUAGGAAGAACUUUGGUCUGGCCAAGACAGGGCCAGCUAGUGGCCUCCCUGCCAUUAGCUCUGUCUGCCACCCAAGACAGAAGAAGCCAACAGUCCAAAGGGACAUAGCAGCUUCAUUUUGGUUCUAGUUAGUGGUGCCAUAGAAGAGGAACAGGCAGAUAGGAUCUCAUCUAGGCCAUGAGACAAGCAAGAGUUCUCAAGAAGGGUAGACUCUUAGAAACAGGAGGCCAGUGAGACAUGGAUCUAAGAGGCAUAGCCAGGUAGAAGCAGCCCUAGUCAAUGGCUAGAAGUAUAAUAUCCCAAUAAAAGAGGCAUUCUUAGAAAGCUGGGCAGCAUCUCAGGACCAC